rnacentral:rRNA from 1 species
AUUGAACGCUGGCGGCAUGCCUUACACAUGCAAGUCGAACGGUAACAGGUCUUCGGAUGCUGACGAGUGGCGAACGGGUGAGUAAUGCAUCGGAACGUGCCCAUUUGUGGGGGAUAACUACGCGAAAGCGUGGCUAAUACCGCAUACGCCCUGAGGGGGAAAGCGGGGGAUUCUUCGGAACCUCGCGCAAUUGGAGCGGCCGAUGUCAGAUUAGCUUGUUGGUGAGGUAAAGGCUCACCAAGGCGACGAUCUGUAGCGGGUCUGAGAGGAUGAUCCGCCACACUGGGACUGAGACACGGCCCAGACUCCUACGGGAGGCAGCAGUGGGGAAUUUUGGACAAUGGGGGCAACCCUGAUCCAGCCAUGCCGCGUGAGUGAAGAAGGCCUUCGGGUUGUAAAGCUCUUUCGGCCGGGAAGAAAUCGCAUGGGUUAAUACCCUGUGCGGAUGACGGUACCGGCAUAAGAAGCACCGGCUAACUACGUG